CAGAACAGAAAGGAGAGUACAGAGCUGACAGUGUUGAUGGAGAGGAAGUUCCUCCUCAGGGGAGCCCAGGCCACUUCCGCCCUCCACUUGGAGCCGGGUGGUGGAUAACAGCUGGCCUCAGGCCUGGAGGCCGUGGGGCCUUCCUGCUCAGUCACACAGCACACUAAGGAAAUAACUUUAUUAGUUAGUGGGUGAAAAACAGGAAAUGUACGCUGUGACUCGGGCACCGGCCGGGCCUCACUCACAUCUUGUUUCUAGGAAACAGACAUGUGGCCUCAGACAAGGAUCUGGGUAGAAGAGCAAAUGUCCAAAGCAGGCUUCCCCAGCCAAGGACCAGCAAUCUGCACAUCCAUAGGCACGGCAGCUAACAGAUUGGUGUAUGAACGAUUGCAUCAUAAUACAGACAGGAAAACCUUUACCAACCACCUUUGGAGAAGGCCAGAAACUCCUCUUGACAAACCGAUGGGUCAAGACGAAGGCCCAUUCACUUGCUGUCUCGCUAUUUAAAGUAAACCUGGAGGAAAAGAACUCACUCACUCAUAGUUGUGGAAAGGAAGUUGUUGUUUUCUUUAAAAAAAAAAAAGGAACUGUAAUUAAUAAAUAAAGAAUAGUAGAAUCGGAAUGUCACCAUCUUUAUGUUUCCUUAGAAACGUCUGGUUACAGGAUGCCAACAGAGAAAGUACAAAGCCAGUUUAGAAAAGCAAUGCAAGGCCAUUCUCAGGGAGGGGUGGACUUUCUUAAAGGGAUGCAGAAGCCAGAUUGGAGCCCCUCCCAAGCCCCGCCAAGUUGAGGAUGCUCAAAGCAGCACGAGAAAUAACAGCGAGAGAUUACAACGCCCAGGUAAGGCAGAAAACAGUCGACGCCG
rnacentral:lncRNA from 14 species